rnacentral:lncRNA from 1 species
GUCACAAUCCACUAGAAUACUUCUGAUUGGAGGUUCCAUUACUCUUUAAGUCUUGGCCUGUUCUUUGGUUAUUUGGCUGGGCAGGUCAUGGGUGCUCUGAUCUAAACAGAGACAAAAUAUUCUGUAACAUUGACAAGAUGCUUGUAAAGUGAGGGGAAUGAGCUUCCCUCAAAAUGCUUAUAAAGGAAAGACCACCAUGAGCUAUUUGAAUCCUGGAACUUUGUGGGGAAUGAGGGGGUACCGUGUCAGCAAAAAUGGAGGCAGAGAUUGGCUCUGCCUGGGAAAUGGAAGAAAUGUCAGUGCUGGCCUCACAGAGCCCUGGAUGCUCUCCUGGGGUUUAGAGAAGAUGCUACUACCCACCACUAACGCUUAG